GGAGUUUCAGAAGUGACUUGAUACACAUAUGCUUUGGCAAAUAUACACAAAACUGAAAUAUUAGUAAUAUUUCCUUAAUAUUGAGACGUUUUAUUUAGCUAAAAAUAGCUAUAAUUACUGACACUUUCCUCAGGCUUAAUUAAAAAAAAAUCAUACUUCCAAUUCAGAUAUUGUCAGUUCCAAUUACUUGACAGUAUAUCUUUUAGGUAUAAUUUUUUUCUUUCUUUCUUUUUUUUUUUUUUUUUUUUUGACAGGGUUUCUCUGUGUAGCCCUGGAUGUCUUGGAACUUACUCUGUAGACCAGGCUGGCCUCGAGCUCAGAAAUCGCCUGCCUCUGCCUCCAAAGUGUUGGGAUUAAAGGCAUGCGCCAGCUGGCAUAAUUUUCUAAUUUUAAGAAAUGCUUAGUGUACUGAUUCUAAAUAGCUUGACAGUAUGAUUUUCUAAUUUUUAAAAAAGCUAACUAUAGAGGCAAGUAUCUCCUGAUUCUUAGCAAGACUUUACAACUAGAAGUCACUACCAUGGGUGUUUCUCUUAGCACGGAGACAUUGGGGCAGAUACUUUUUUCUUUCUUUUGUGGGAGAUAGGGGCAGCUCUACUUUGACUAACUUACCUAAUCUUAACUAUUAAGAGUCAUCCUUCCUUCAUUUUCCACAUUUUCCACCAUCCAGUUAGCCCAGGUCAGACUGAUUUCCAGACCUUUUUUUCCAGUUUCUCUGAAUAACUAAUCCUAAUUGUGGGCCUCUAAUUUUAUUUUGGCUCUUGACUCUAGAUAUUCAGUUCAACUGUCAUACUGCUAUCAAACACAUGUAAAAGUUAUUCUUUUGCCUAAAAGAGAUUUUGUUGUUGUUGAAAGUAUAGUUCAUAUUCCUUAUGGCAGUCAUAGUUUCCAUUUUAGUAUCUAAUGUUUUUCCAUCUCAACUGUUCUGUCCUAAUCUCCCACAGCCCUGACUGCUGCAGUGCUUAUAAUUAUAAUACACUUAGAAAGUUUCUUGUUUCUAUUCAUGCUAUUACUUCUUGUAAUAACUUUUCUCUUAAACUGCUUAAGGAUUUCUUUAUCUUUCUCUGGGGUCUCUUUAUUUACCUUUUCAGUGCUUCCUUGUUUGCUUAGUGCUUUAUAUGGAUAUUUUGUGUAGCCCACAAGAGCUUGUUAUAGCCAUCUCUAUAUCUAAGUCUUUCUACUUGACUAAAUAUGAGGGCUUUGAUGGUGAAAGCUGAAACUCCUUGGUCUUUGUGUGCACAACAUACAGCAUACUUACAUAGUCUGACAGAAAAAUACUAGGGAAACAUUUUGAAAUGUUUCCUUAUUUACCAGAUAAUCUGUAAACCAAAGGAAGCCAAAUAAGAUUUUUUUCAAGUACUAGUAAAUUAAUUUAUGGUUUCUAAAUGCUGCAAAUGUGAAUAGUUUAAGACUACAAUGUUUAAAUUCUAAGAGAGAAGCUUUUAAUUUUUUGGAUAGGUUUUGAGACAGGUUUUUGCUGUGUGUGGUUCUGGCUGUCCUCGAACUUGUUUGGAGACUGGGCUGACCUCAAACUCAGACCCACCUGAUUCUGCUGGGAUUAAAAGGGUAUGGUACCAUUCCUGGCUAAGAGGACAAGCUUUUAAAAGCCUCCUUAUUUAAUCUUUGGGGUGUUUUGUUUUGAGACUAGGUCUCACUAUGUAGCUUGACUGGCCUGAAACUUGCUCUGUAGACCAGGCUAGCCUCAAACUCAGAGAUCCGCCUCCCUCUGCUGGGAUUAAAGGGGGGAUGUGUUACCACUACUGGUUAAGAGUACAAACCUUUAAAAGCCCCUUAAUUUAAUCUUUCUUUUUUGCUACUAGAUCUUACUAUAUUUCCCUGGCUGGCCUGAAACUUCCUGUGCAGACUAGACUGGCCUUGAAUUCAUAGAGAUCUGUCUGUCUCUGCCCACUAAGAGCAAAGUUUAAAGGUGUGCAUCACCAUGUCUAGCCUAAAGGCCUUUUUAGAUGUAACAUUUAUACUUGUGUGUCAUUUCUUGGCUCUUUUUAUGAACUGACAUAAUGGUAUUACCAGUUGAUUUAUUCCAGUGUUGAUUUUCAAAGAAUUGUCCACAAAGAAGCUGUUUGACAAGGUGUUAUUUCUCUUUAUAAAUGUUUUGACAUUUAUUCAUGGUGUAGAAGCAGUGAGUAGAUAAAACUUAAGGUACCUAGCAAGAGUUACUCUAAUAAAUUGGUAAUUCAUUAUGUUCUUCCCCACCACACACACUUUCACUUAUUAAUGAGUCUAAGUUCAAUACCAGUUCCUUCUGUUUUUUGAGACAGGGUCUUGCAAUUGCAUAGUCCAAGUUGGUCUGGAACUCAUUAUGUAGAUCAGGAUGCCUUAGAACUAGUUUCCCUCCCCUGCAUGUAGCCUGUUAAGUGCUGGGGUCACAAGUGUGUAUGCCACCAUACUUGGCUUGCUAGUUUUAUGUUGUAAAUGCACAUCUUCUCAGCUUGUGGGAUAAAAUGAGAGGUAUGCAUAAAAUUCUUCUACAAACUAAAGUAGGAUGAUUAUUUUAAAUAAAAAAAAUUGUGCUCAACUUUUGACUUAUUAGCUAAAUGCUGAAGGGGUAGCAUUUUUACUUGGAAGAUGUAUUAAAAACUAUGUCAUUUAAAUAUUUAUCACACAUAUUUUUCUUUAAACAGAAUGUAUUAGCUGUUUCAAGGAAAAGAGCUAAAACGUUGCUGAAUUUGAGUUUUAUUUGAUUUACAAUUUUGAGAAUCUUUAUUUGCCUUUGUGAAAUAGCUUUCUUGUAUUGGAAAACUAUAUAAUAAAAAUACAUUACCAUUUGGAAGAUGCAUAAUGUUAUGAACCAGUAUUUCCAGAGAUUGUUAGGAAUGAGAUAGAAUUCUUAAAAAGGUUAAUAACGUAAUGUACUGACUUUUGGUGUUCUGGCUUUAUAGUGAAAUGACAUGACCAGGAGAUAAUAGGGGCUUUCUUUCAUUUUAAUUAUUGCAGUAGUACUACUCAGAAGAAUUCUUGGUUUAAUAUAAGAGUCCAUAAAACUUUUUCUAACUAGUUUUAUUUUUCCUCCUUUUCUUCUGGGGCAGGAGGUGGGAACAUUCAAGACAAAUUCUGUCACUAAACUAUAUUUCAAACUUAUAAAAAAUAAUUUUAAAGCCUGAUAUUUUAAAACUAUUAUGUUUGUUUUGCCUGUGUGUAUGUCUGUGUAACACAUGUCCAGGAAUAUCAGAGAGGGCUUUGCAUCCCCUGGAACUUAAAUUGAAAGAUACAGUAUCUAAAAUUAAGCACUAAUUAAGAUGCAUUUAAUAGCACAUUAGACAAAAGAGGUCAAUAGAAAUUAUUCAAACUGAAGCAUGGAGAAAAGGCCGAUAGCAGGCCAAUAAACCCAGAAGAACUAACAGAAAGUGCUAAUAUAUGUGUGGCUAGAGCCUCAGAAGAACAUAAGUAAAGGAGGAUGGUAGAACUUCCAAAACUAAUAAACAUGCCCAUAGUCAAAAGAUCUGAUGUUAUCUCAGGAAUAAAUGCAAAGGAAAUACUGACUGGGCUUAUUAAUGGAGUUUUUUUGACUUUUGAGGACGAGGAACAAAAAAAAAUUUUUUUGAGAUAGGGUCUCUUUAUGAAGUGUUGGCUGUUGUCCUGAAACACUAUGUAGGCCAGAUUGGCCUCAAACUCGAAAUGAUCUGCCCAUCUCUGCCUUGUGACUGCUGGAAUUAUAGAUGUGUGCCACAAUGCUCCUCUAAGGGAAGAAACAAGACAAAAACAAAAGCCCUCCACACCAUUCUCACAGUGGAACCCAGAAAACAACAAUCAUUUUUUUGAGUAUCUUGUGUGUGCAUGUAGUGCCAGGGCCUUGCACUUGAUAGGCUGACAUUUUCCCCUGAGGUACAUCUUUAGCCAUGCUUGUUUGUUUUUUGAGAAAGUGGUUUUGUACUAUAAAUAGCUCAGACAAGCUUUAACUUGCUAUUUAACCCAAGCUUGCCUUGAAUUUGUGAUUCUUAUACCUCAGUACCCCAACAACCUUAAAAUGCAAAGAACUUCC